rnacentral:rRNA from 1 species
UACGUAGGAUGCAAGCGUUGUCCGGAAUUACUGGGCGUAAAGGGCGCGCAGGCGGUCUGCCAAGUCAGAUGUGAAAUACUCCGGCUUAACCGGAGGGGGUCGUUUGAAACUGGCAAACUGGAGUGCAACAGAGGAUAGUAGAAUUCCCGGUGUAGUGGUGAAAUGCGUAGAUAUCGGGAGGAAUACCAGUGGCGAAGGCGGCUAUCUGGGUUGCAACUGACGCUGAGGCGCGAAGGCCAGGGGAGCGAACAGG